UAGUCCACGCCGUAAACGAUGAGAACUAGAUGUCGGGAGGGUUUAGCCUCUCGGUGUCGCAGCUAACGCGUUAAGUUCUCCGCCUGGGGAGUACGGUGGCAACACUAAAACUCAAAGGAAUUGACGGGGACCCGCACAAGCGGUGGAGCAUGUGGUUUAAUUCGAUGCAACGCGAAGAACCUUACCUGCCCUUGACAUUGACAGAACCCUUUAGAGAUAGGGGGGUGCUUCGGCCUGGAAAACAGGUGCUGCAUGGCUGUCGUCAGCUCGUGUCGUGAGAUGUUGGGUUAAGUCCCGCAACGAGCGCAACCCUUAUCUUUAGUUACCAGCAUGUAAUGAUGGGCACUCUAAAAGAGACUGCCGGUGACAAGCCGGAGGAAGGUGGGGACGACGUCAAGUCAUCAUGGCCCUUACGGGGAUGGGGCUACACACGUGCUA
rnacentral:rRNA from 1 species